rnacentral:miRNA from 1 species
UGAGGCAGGAGAAUUGCUUGAACCCAGGAGGUGGAGGCUGCAGUGAGCCGAGAUCAAGCCACUGCACUCCAGCCUGGGUGACAGAGCGAGACUCUAUCUC